GUAUAGGGGAGGCGAAGGGAAACCGAGUCUGAUAAGGGCGCAUAGUCGCGGGCAGUAGACCCGAAACCGGGUGAUCUAGUCAUGGCCAGGGUGAAGGUGCCGUAACAGGUACUGGAGGCCCGAACCCACGUCUGUUGCAAAAGACGGGGAUGAGCUGUGAUUAGGAGUGAAAAGCUAAUCGAACCCGGAGAUAGCUGGUUCUCCUCGAAAGCUAUUUAGGUAGCGCCUCGGACGAAUACUACUG
rnacentral:rRNA from 1 species